AUGCACAUACACCAGGCUACUAAUUAUUGGGAGGCGGAUGUUAUUGACGUGGGUCACGUUGAUAAGUUGUUGAUUGGUUUGUUGUUGUUGAUUAGUUUGUUGUUGCUGCGGUACUAUCUCCUUUCCUUUCAUGAAGGUUGGUCCAGUGCAGACAGACCUGACCAAUCACACUCAGAGCAUCCUCAGACAGACCUGACCAAUCUCACUCAGACAGACCUGACCAAUCACACUCAGACAGACCUGACCAAUCAGUUUUCACAACAAAGCCACUCCAGCCCCUCGCUGCACACACACACACCUAAGCCUUACUCCCAAAUUCAAUAACACAUACACACGCGCACACACUCCUACUCUGGCAGUGCUAAUAUUCACACAGAGAAGCUCCUCAGGCCUGGCCCUCGGCUACUACAUCUGAGGGCCGCUGGGGGGUGGGGGGGGGUCCCCUAACCCUGGCCGACCCUUUGCUACUGAACGUCUGUGAGCUGGCCUCUCAUUCGCAGGCCGUCACUCUCUUCAAGUAUUUCCCCUUCAAAUCAUUCAUCAGUAAUAUCUCGUUUAAAAUGUCCAUCAUCAUUUCAUCCACAUACUGUACACACACACACACACACACACACACACACACACAACACACACACACACACACACACACACACACACACACACACACACACACACACACACACACACACACACACACACACACACACACACACCAAGAGCAGCAAUAUCCCCUAAUUAGCUGGUCACUCAGCCAAUGAGAGGCAGUUACUGGAGGCUGUUCCCCAGGGGCAGCCCUGUGAUUGGUUUAUCUGUAGGUGUGAGUAGAGCUCUCAGAUACGGCAUUCCAUUCCAUGUUCCAUUCCAUGUUCCCAAGGAGCCCCCUGUCCUGAGAUGGAUGGCACAUAUCUUACAAUUGUGAGAACAACAAAAUGGUUGACACAGCAAAAAUGGUAAAAAAAUGAAUGUUUUUUUAUGUAUUAGAUAUUACCCCUCGCAAUGAUUUUUUUUGGAUGAGCUGAGCUUUUGCUGACCGUAAAAAUAACAUCUACGUAUGGAAAAUAUAAUAACA
rnacentral:lncRNA from 1 species